UGCAGGGACAUGGUUAAAUCUGGACGCCAUCAUCCUCAGCAAACUAACACAGGAACAGAAAACCAAACACCGGAUGUUCUCACUCACAAGUGACAGUUGAACAAUGAGAACACAUGGACACCUGGACGGGAACAACACACACCCAGGCCUGUCAGGGAAAAGUGGGAAACUGAAAG